UACGUAGGGGGCAAGCGUUGUCCGGAAUCAUUGGGCGUAAAGAGCGUGUAGGCGGCUCGGUAAGUCCGCUGUGAAAGUCCAGGGCUCAACCCUGGAAAGCCGGUGGAAACUGUCGAGCUUGAGUCCGGAAGAGGCGAGUGGAAUUCCUGGUGUAGCGGUGAAAUGCGCAGAUAUCAGGAGGAACACCAAUGGCGAAGGCAGCUCGCUGGGUCCCUACCGACGCUGGGGUGCGAAAGCAUGGGGAGCGAACAGG
rnacentral:rRNA from 1 species